ensembl:ncRNA T24B8.9 ncRNA
AACAGUUGAAGAGGGAGGAUAUACCAUGUCUACAGGUGUCAAUUUUGAAGAGGAGCUGAAGGGAUCAUCAUGAAUUGAUAGCCUUCCGUAACAAGUAUAUGUAAUCCUUCACUUGCGUCAUGG